UCAGCCUGCCGCGUGAGUGAUGAAGGCCUUAGGGUUGUAAAGCUCUUUUACCCGGGAUGAUAAUGACAGUACCGGGAGAAUAAGCUCCGGCUAACUCCGUGCCAGCAGCCGCGGUAAUACGGAGGGAGCUAGCGUUGUUCGGAAUUACUGGGCGUAAAGCGCACGUAGGCGGCUAUUCAAGUCAGAGGUGAAAGCCCGGGGCUCAACCCCGGAACUGCCUUUGAAACUAGAUAGCUUGAAUCCAGGAGAGGUGAGUGGAAUUCCGAGUGUAGAGGUGAAAUUCGUAUAUAUUCGGAAGAACACCAGUGGCGAAGGCGGCUCACUGGACUGGUAUUGACGCUGAGGUGCGAAAGCGUGGGGAGCAAACAGGAUUAAAUACCCUGGUAGUCCACGCCGUAAACGAUGAUAACUAGCUGUCAG
rnacentral:rRNA from 1 species